rnacentral:rRNA from 1 species
CGUGUAGGCGGCUUGACAAGUCAGAUGUGAAAUCCCUGGGCUUAACCCAGGAAGUGCAUUUGAAACUGUCUGGCUCGAGUAAGGGAGAGGAAAGUGGAAUUCCUGGUGUAGAGGUGAAAUUCGUAGAUAUCAGGAGGAACACCGGUGGCGAAGGCGACUUUCUGGCCCCUAUACUGACGCUGAGACGCGAAAGCGUGGGGUAGCAAACAG